rnacentral:rRNA from 1 species
UACGUAGGCAGCGAGCGUUGUUCGGAAUUACUGGGCGUAAAGAGUGUGUAGGCGGUGCUCUAAGUUCGGUGUGAAAUCUCCUGGCUCAACUGGGAGGGUGCGCCGGAAACUGGAGUGCUUGAGCGUGGGAGAGGAAAGCGGAAUUCCUGGUGUAGCGGUGAAAUGCGUAGAUAUCUGGAGGAACACCGGUGGCGAAGGCGGCAUCCUGGACCGGUAUUGACGCUGAGGAGCGAAAGCCAGGGGAGCAAACGGG